ensembl:lncRNA
GUUGUUUAUCAUGGGUCACAUAAUAUGCUGCCAGAUCAUAGCCUGAUUUGGGCCACAUAUCACCUGACUGAUCUGGGCCACACUCCUCCCACCAACAAUCGGCCCUCAUAUUGUUUGCCGGAUCCCCGCCCUCCCGUCAUUGCCACACAUGGCCCAGCUCUGGCUGAAAGGGUACAUGCCAUUGCCGACAGGAGGCCAGCAGUGCCAGCUUGAGGCCACAUUUGGGCCAAGUCCAUUUGCUAUGUGGGGGAUGGAAUGAGCGAAAAAAAAAAGAAACCUGCACAAGUACUUAUCUACACGACUAUCCAAAAGACAAAAGGAAGUCAAAGAGGACAUUGAGGCUAUAAAGAAGUGCACGCAAAGGUCUGAUGAGGAACUGCAACAGUGGGUCAUUGAUGUGACACAGUGGGCAGUUGACACACCAGAUGACCUCAGAACAGAUGAUCCAGUGGCGUUGCAACAUCUGAUUGAAGGCCUAUUCUUGGGCAUCCAGCAGAAAAAGAGGAAUCUAUAUCGAGUAACCGACCGUAACAAACAGCGACACAAGAUCCGAAGAUGGAUUAGAGAGGAUAAGAAAAAGCUGUUUAAUGCCAUAUCCCAAUACAAUGAUCUUCCAACCACCACAGAAUCUGUAGAUUCAGUUGAAGACCUUCUGGCAACAGAAAGCCCUAUCUGGCCUUGGGAUUCUGAACCUGACACUUCCUUAGGCAUGAAGAAGAAGGUUUUUGACAAGGUGAUGUAGCUGGAGAGACUGAUUGAGGAAGAGGCUAUAAUUUUAGAGGAAAUGAAACAACAUUGGACUCAUCUUACAAGAACCUGCAGGGCCUUGAAGGACCAGGCUAAUGUACUAUCAGAUGACCUGGCCACACAGAACCUGGAGUUCGGGGUUAGAGGUUAUUUCCUGUAUAGAAGAAAGGAAGCUGACAGUAUGUGUGCACAUGUAAUCCAUCUGUUGUUAGCACUAGAAGCAAUGUCUUUUCACUCUGUCAUGUAAGAUGAUGUUGAAAGCCACAGUAAACAGCAAGAAAUCGCUCACUACGACUUGUCGUCAUUUUGCAUCAGAGUUAGCUGGCUGUAUAGCUACAGUUGCUACACUGCAACUACCCUUCAGGACUGUCUGGUCAAGCUUACCAUGGCCUGCACAGUGCUGUCCUCCAAAAAUGUGAGGAGCUCAAAACAGACCUGGUACCUGUGAAAGAAACCUACUCCCAAAUAGUGGUAAAUGGGAAUGGUGGAACUGUUGUUGAAGAAGAUGAAGACCCAUAUGAGCAUGUCUCCACAGAUGCCUCUACAGAUGAUGAAUUAUAGAUUCUCUCUUCUCCACUGCACAAACUGGUCUCCUGACUCUGAGUAGCUCAAGUUAGCUCUCCCCAUUGUAAAUAAUAAAAACUUGAACCUGAAUUUUCUUUCACUGCCUGACUGAAUCUUAAUUUCUUUAGUA